GUGAUUUUGGGACAACAGCAUUGCUAAUUUGAUGACGGAUAUUUUCUAGCAACUUCAUCUGAUCUCAUUUGGUGCACGUCUUCCAAUUAUCUCCGUGUAAUUACGUGAUCGCUUAAAAACAGAUAUCAUAAACAUAGACUGAAAUAGCAUCACAUCAGGUUGCGCGUUGUGAUACAAGGUGAUUUUGGGCCAACAGCAUUGCUAAUUUAAUGUCGGAUGUUUUGUAGCUGCUUAAUCUGGGCGCAUCUGUUGUACGUCUUCCAAUUAUCUUCUCGUAAUUACGUGAUCGUAAUUCUAUUGUGCAGCCUGAAGCAGACUGUUUGCUCUUUUUCUCUCGCGCCUGCUAUUGCCAUGGGCUCGAUGGUAUUGGCAGCUUCCGGCGUAGAUGCUGUCAUACCCUUCCGAUUGUUGGAUUCACAGCUAGAUUGACAAAUUAAGGACUGCAAUGAAUUCCAAGGAUCUCCUCGAGGGACAAAGCAAAUUUUUCCAGGAUCGGACUUUAAUUAAGAACAACUAAGCUAAAAUUCUAAUUUAUGCUCGUUUUGUACACCUUUAAGAGAAAUAAUUAAGAAAAUAAGCAUAAAAAAAUUAUUUUAUAAAUUUAAACAAAAAUAAAUGCAUUAUUUAAAAUGAAAA